AAUCAACGCUGGCGGCGUGCCUCAGACAUGCAAGUCGAACGAUUAAAGCUCUCUUCGGAGAGUGUAUAGAGUGGCGCACGGGUGAGUAACACGUAAGUAAUCUACCUUCGAGUGGGGAAUAACGUUCGGAAACGAACGCUAAUACCGCAUAAUGCAGCGGCAUCGCAAGAUGACAGUUGUUAAAGGAAUUUAUUUCGCUUGAAGAGGAGCUUGCGGCAGAUUAGCUAGUUGGUAAGGUAACGGCUUACCAAGGCUACGAUCUGUAUCCGGUCUAAGAGGACGGUCGGACACACUGACACUGAAUAACGGGUUAGACUCCUACGGGAGGCAGCAGUCGGGAAUUUUGGGCAAUGGGCGAAAGCCUGACCCAGCAACGCCGCGUGAAGGAUGAAGUAUCUCGGUAUGUAAACUUCGAAAGAAUGGGAAGAAUAAAUGACGGUACCAUUUAUAAGCUCCGGCUAACUACGUGCCAGCCGCCGCAGUAAAAC
rnacentral:rRNA from 1 species